CGACCAGCCAACCGACUUGGAGUUCUGGAUGUGCGCUCGACUACGCCAACGAUGGAAGUUUUAGAUCAUCCGAGUGACGACAAAAACGAGGGGGAGAUUGUUGGCGCGCGAAUUUCAAUUGAACGACCCCUCACUGGGACCGAAGUCGAAAUGUCAACAUCUUAAUCGAACUGAGUUGACCAACGGGCGGAAGAAGACACUUUUCUAUAUUUGAGGCAAAUCGUAAAUCGAAUUGGAAUAGGAGAAUUUUAUUUAAAUCGUUGAACAUCUGCGUUGAAGUAAAUUUAAAUUGUAUGAAGAAGUGUGUUGGACGUACGGAGGAUUGUGUCAAAUGGUGAAUUGUUGUAAUUAGUUACAGAUUCACUGACCGAUUAUAGAUCUAGACUCAAUUCGGACGAAGUGGCAUAUAGUUUACCAAGUGGUGAGAUUUGUUGAUUUGUUAGUUUGACACGAGCUAAUUUUACUGAUUUUGCAGUCUGGUCUAGGUUAGUUAUUCUAAUCCGAAAGUACGUUCCAACGCAGUUCUUGUGAUCCUAGUUUACACAGCAAAGUAAGAUUUGAUCAAUAAGUUUUAAGGAUUCUAGAUUGUUUACGUUUUACUGAUCUAAUUUAGGUAAAUAAAAGCCUUCACCACAUUUGAAUAC